rnacentral:ncRNA from 1 species
AUUAAAACUAAGAUGGAGAAAAAAAUAUUCGAUUUGUUAAUUAAAGAGAGUUAGCGUUAGGUGGGAGCUAAUAUUAGCAUGGAUAUAAAAUGAUCACUCCGGAGUUUCCAAGUUGAAAGAGUUUUAUCAAGUAAACAAGGACGUUUACCAGCGAUAUAUGGUUAAGAUUAAUUAUGAGUUUUUGUAAUGAUCUGAGUUAAGAGGCAGUUACUAUGUGUUAACUGCAAAAAAGGUGGUACCGCGGAAGUUUGAUCUUUCGUCCUUAUG